UAUGGAUCACAAAACCACACACAUACCUUUAAUUAGCAUAAAUAAUUGUUCUCAUUAAAAAUCCUAUUCGAAAACAUGUGUACAAUGUAAUGGCUAAAAUCCAUAACGUGCCACACAUAAAAUGAACAAUUCUUAAACAUAUAACCGAUACGUAUAUGAAUCAAGCGAGAAAGCACGACGAAGCGAAAAAAUCAAAAUGGCUGCACUCGUCAAGUCUGGAUCAGCACUUUUCAUCCGAGAGAUUUUAACUAACAUACUGCUUCGUAUCUGCUAGAUUCCGGCUGCUGCUCCAAAACUCAAUUGAGCUUAAGCUUACGAGAGAAGAUGACGGCGAUACGACUGCCUCACCGAUUUACCUAUUUAGGAAAUUCCCAUUAUAUGCGCUAUGGUACCAUCAAAACAUCAGUUUUGAUCUGCAUCGGAUUAUUCGCAGUUAGUACCUAGAAGGAACCAGCCAGCAACAGCAUCAAACAUCGCUGAUCGAUCAACAAAAGAUUGGUUUAUCGAGCAGUAAUAAGAAGACACGCUGACGCCACAAUUAAUUCUAUAAGAAAAAAUUGCAAGCGGAAAGUGAUACGACGGCAACGACAAUGCUCCUGCUGCAACAAAGUACAUACACGAAACCGGACCAGAAACCGGACGAGAAGCCGGAUGAGUUUAUCCACGCACAGCACGCACCAAUUGUGCGCUAUUCCAAAAAUUGUUCCUUCGAGAAGUUUGACAAAAGUCCCCAGUUGAAUAAUAAGUUGGUGGUUGAAUAAUCUAAAUAGCAGUACCGUAAAUCUGCUGCUGUAGGACCAAAUCAAAAACAUUACUUCGAGCAAACACACAGCGCAAAGGUUUCCAUGAAAAUACAUAAAUGUUGCACAGAAGAUGGCUCAGUACGAACUUGCAGAGUUGCACUACCGUAAGGCGUCGGAUAUCGAAAAACUCGGACAUCAUAAUUCACUUUGGAGCAAUGCAGUUAUUUCUGAGGAGUCGUAAGAAAUACUGUUCAAUUACCGAGGCGUCCACGAAAACAAAACUCCGGUGGUAAUACCAUUUUGUUCCAAUGAAAAAGCAUCCCCGCAAGGCCAUCAUUAGCUGCUAAAUGAUGAUGUGUUAGUGAUGCUACAUAUAAGUGUCGAAAAUGGAUAACAUUCGUUGCUGCUAUUAUGGCACAUAGCUACAUAAUCUUCGACAUUUCGCAACUGAUUUUGUUCAAUUCCGCUUAUACUCCAACAAUGUUUAAAAACCGACAGUAUGCUCCAAACUUUGUCUGUGUCCAAACUAUUGUGAACUCAAUGUGUUAGAAGUAUAACCCAAAAUUCAUAGUUUAUAUCCAGGUUUGUAUUGUUUAUCGAUUUACGAUUUUUGUGACA